rnacentral:rRNA from 1 species
GACGAACCGUGCGAACGUUGUUCGGAAUCACUGGGCUUAAAGGGCGCGUAGGCGGGCUGCCAAGUCAGGGGUGAAAGCCCACGGCUCAACCGUGGAAGUGCCUUUGAUACUGGCGGCCUUGAGGGAGGUAGGGGCGUGCGGAACUUCCGGUGGAGCGGUGAAAUGCGUAGAUAUCGGAAGGAACACCGGUGGCGAAGGCGGCUUCCUGGCCUGUUCUUGACGCUGAGGCGCGAAAGCUAGGGGAGCAAACGGG